rnacentral:rRNA from 1 species
CGGACGGGUGAGUAACGCGUGGGUAACCUGCCUUACACUGGGGGAUAACACUUAGAAAUAGGUGCUAAUACCGCAUAAGCGCACGGCUCCGCAUGGGGCAGUGUGAAAAACUCCGGUGGUAUACGAUGGAUCCGCGUCUGAUUAGCUAGUUGGCGGGGUAACGGCCCACCAAGGCAGCGAUCAGUAGCCGGCCUGAGAGGGUGGACGGCCACAUUGGGACUGAGACACGGCCCAAACUCCUACGGAAGGCAGCAG